AUGCAUUUGCCGAGCCAUUUACCAGGGACCUCUCCUAAAUCUAAAGCAGCACAAGCAGACACAGAUUAUAACCAAGAAACAAAGCAACAUCGAUCUGAAAUUGCUCAAGAACUGAAACUGCAUACACGUACUGAAACUGCAUCAAGAACAUUUGUACCUUUCCAGUCAAGCGGACGCCCUCCAUGCUGCUGCCGCUGCCCCGUGCUACUGCCUCCGUUGAAUUGGUCGGCUCGCGCUCCAUCAGCUCCGUUGCCGCAGCCGCCAAGCACCAUGCUGCAGUCUUGGAGAAGGGCCGCAGCCGCCGAGCUCCGUUGCCGCAGUCUUCGACAGGAAGUGGAUGGGGUGGAGGCGAGGAGAUGUGGAGGAGGGCCGGAGAAGUGA
rnacentral:rRNA from 1 species